rnacentral:miRNA from 1 species
CACUCACCUGCCUCCUUCCCGUCCUCUCCCCUGCCUGCCUGUCUCCUCCAGCCAAGAGAACGGGGCGAGCUGCUGCACGUGCUCCCGGCUGGAGGAGGCAGGCAGGGGAGAGGACAGGAAGGAGGCAGGCGAGCG